GCCUUACACAUGCAAGUCGAACGGCAGCACGGACUUCGGUCUGGUGGCGAGUGGCGAACGGNUGAGUAAUGUAUAGGAACGUGCCUAGUAGCGGGGGAUAACUACGCGAAAGCGUAGCUAAUACCGCAUACGCCNUACGGGGGAAAGCAGGGGAUCGCAAGACCUUGCACUAUUAGAGCGGCCGAUAUCGGAUUAGCUAGUUGGNGGGGUAACGGCUCACCAAGGCGACGAUCCGUAGCUGGUUUGAGAGGACGACCAGCCACACUGGGACUGAGACACGGCCCAGACUCCUACGGGAGGCAGCAGUGGGGAAUUUUGGACAAUGGGGGAAACCCUGAUCCAGCCAUCCCGCGUGUGCGAUGAAGGCCUUCGGGUUGUAAAGCACUUUUGGCAGGAAAGAAACGUCAUGGGUUAAUACCCCGUGAAACUGACGGUACCUGCAGAAUAAGCA
rnacentral:rRNA from 1 species